rnacentral:tRNA from 1 species
GGGCCAUUAGCUCAGUCGGCUAGAGCGCUUCGUUCACACCGAAGAGGUCACUGGUUCGAGUCCAGUAUGGCCCACCC